GAUCGCGGGAGACCAAAGGGGGAGGGGCUUUGGUCUCUGAUUCUGAUCCCGGGGCUCUUGGAGUCGGGAGCUCGAGCCCAUCUUCUCUUCCCAGCAGGCCCCCCCUUUUGCUGAGAUCUAUGCACGAGAGGAAGGCCUCGUAACUGCAGCUUCACCCGCCUCCCUGCAGAGCUGGGUGCCACCGGCCUUAAGAGGAACACUGUGGGUGUACCCUUCAUCUCUCUGAGCUGCUGUCUCCUUGUCUGUUAAGUGGAAAUUAUAAUACUACACUGAAGACAUUUCAGAACCACACUGCGGGAAUAAGAAGAGUCAGCAAUUGAAAGCAUAACCAUUGCAUAGUAUUAAAUGAACAGAGACGGUUGAUCCCGCUGUCGAUGGCGCUGUUGUUCUUGUUGAGCGAUGACGGCGGGCUCGAAUUCUGCUUGAGCGCGGCAUCUUCUUCCAGGUCGGUGUCGUCAAUGAGGGGGAUGUGGGGCUGGGAAUCUUCGAUCCGGAAUUCAGGGUGAGCCAUGAAAUUAUGGAUGGAGGUUCGAGACUCAGGCUUUUCUAGACCUUCAUAGAGAGAGCUACGGAACGCCUUCACGACGCGAAUCUGCAAGGGAAGCACAGGGAACUACAGUAUCAUUCGGACAGGAGGAAUCAAGCCCCAUCACAGAUGGUGGGAACCAGUGGUUAGAGGAAGCAUAGUCCACUCCGGCGGGCACCCAGACCUAGUGAGAGACUGAGCCUUGUUAACUUUAAAGCAGAAGUCCAACCAUGCAGAAGGGGAGCGGGCCAGAUGGGAAUAAAGGAGGAAGGAGGAGAGGCUAGUUUUAGAAAAGUAAUCUUAAGAAAACCACACGCAGUUAAGAAACCAUACAACAUGGAACAGAUAACAUGUCACGAAACAGAGAAGGAACAGAAAGGAGAGACAGUUGGAUGAGCUGGGACAGGAGAAGACACACGAGGGCCAGAGGACAAGAACAUCAAACCGAAGCAGCAAAGCAAACCAAAGCCAACUCAGGGCUUUCUGGGGUGCAGAGCAGAGGCAGCCAGAAAGCACGAAGGAGCCGGCGGACUGAUGACAUUCAGGGGCGGGAGCAUGCCACGGUGAGGGGUUGGGAACCACACAGCACACACAGACAGACACACGGCUACACUUGGAAGCCUGGACAAUGUGAACGGAGGUCUUUGUACCCAACGUUUCUUUCCUUCAUGCAUUUGGGAGAUCCAACUCAGAGUGGCGGCAGUGGCAGAGGAAUACGAGGCGGAAUCAGCGCCUCCAAGGAGCAGAGCCUUGCCAAGUUGUCCGUGGAGCCGAGGGUGCCUUGCCUGGCUCUCCCUGCAGAGCAGGGGCUGCCUCCAUACCACAGGGCUGCAAGGAGGGAAGUGUUUCUAAAGCACCCAAGAUGCUCCUCUGCCUUUUGAUUUAGUGUGCACAAAGAAUUUAAGUUGGUGCUGUGGGCUGGGGACUCCAGGGGAUCCUGCUUGUUGGAACCAUGCUUUAAAUGAGAGGCAUCAGGCACCAAGCAAGAGCCAGCAGACGCUGUGUAUUAGUGCUGGCACUCCGUAAUGGCUGUUUGCCCUGAGGCCUCUUUCUCCCUGGAUUCCCUAUUCAAGGCUCUGUAGAGAUGAUUAAAUAUUCUGAUCUCCUGA